GACGAACGCUGGCGGCGUGCUUAACUCAUGCAAGUCGAACGGAAAGGCCCCUUUGGGGGUACUCGAGUGGCGCACGGGUGAGUAACACGUGAGUAACCUGCCCUUGACUUCGGGAUAACUUCAGGAAACUGGGGCUAAUACCGGAUAGGAAUCCUUGCUGCAUGGUGGGGGUUGGAAAGCUUCGGCGGUUUUGGAUGGACUCGCGGCUUAUCAGCUUGUUGGUGGGGUAGUGGCUUACCAAGGCUUUGACGGGUAGCCGGCCUGAGAGGGCGACCGGCCACAUUGGGACUGAGAUACGGCCCAGACUCCUACGGGAGGCAGCAGUGGGGAAUAUUGCACAAUGGGCGGAAGCCUGAUGCAGCAACGCCGCGUGCGGGAUGACGGCCUUCGGGUUGUAAACCGCUUUCAGCAGGGGCGAAGCUUGUGGUGACGGUACCUGCAGAAGAAGCACCGGCUAACUACGUG
rnacentral:rRNA from 1 species